GAUGCGGCAGCGAUACGUCCUGGAAUAGCCCAGGUCAAUUAGUCGAUCACAGAAGAUGUUUACGUCUGGUAUCUUGUAUCAGGUAUCUUGUAUCGGGUAGCUUACAGUAAAUUAUUAGAGGAUCCAUUUGGUUGAGCUAUGUUACUAUGACUGAUUAUGAGAGGGCUUUCUUAUCUGGCUGAGAGGUUGGCUUCAUGUCUUACAUCCUCAAAAAGAGCCACAAACACAGGAUGACAUGCUAACAGACAGCAAGUUUGGUCAGUCUCGAGGGCACCUCUGCCAAGUCACCCUUCCUCAUGCAGUGUGGUUCCUAUAUAAGCAGCACUUUUAAAAACUCUGAAUUAAGACACUUAUGAUAAAUUCAUAUUUCCAAUAUUUUUCAUAUACUGACAUCAAUGAUGAAUUGCCUGUAAACUCUUUGAAGGGGACGGGCAUUUCUGAAACCUGUUCAGUACAUAAAGCAUAAUACAAAGCCGAGUGGUCAAUAAGAGACAUACAAACAAUGUUCCCAAAUGAACUUAUAGUAAACAAAUAAUGUUUACCAUGCCUUUAGCUCUUUAGCUCUGAUCUGCUCUUAUCAUCUGAUCGUGGGUGUAUCUCUCUAUUAGUUUUAUUGGAUCUUAGUGCUGCGUUUGACACAAUUGACCACAACAUUCUUUUGCAUAGACUUGAACACUUUGUUGGCAUCAGUGGAAGUGCAUUAGCAUGGUUUAAAUCGUACUUAUAUGACCGCCAUCAGUUCGUAGCAGUGAAUGAAGAUGUAUCAUAUCGAUCACAAGUGCAGUAUGGAGUACCUCAAGGCUCAGUUCUAGGGCCACUACUCUUCACGCUUUAUAUGUUACCCUUGGGAGAUAUCAUCAGGAAACAUGGUGUUAGCUUUCACUGUUAUGCUGAUGAUACGCAGCUCUAUAUUUCCUCGCAGCCCGGUGAAACACACCAAUUUGAAAAACUAAUGGAAUGCAUAGUCGAUAUAAAAAAUUGGAUGACGAGUAAUUUCUUACUGCUAAAUUCAGAAAAAACAGAGGUGUUAAUCAUAGGGCCUAAAAACUCUACUUGUAAUAACCUAGAACACUGUCUAAGACUUGAUGGUUGCUCUGUCAAUUCUUCGUCAUCAGUUAGGAACCUAGGUGUGCUACUUGAUCGCAAUCUUUCCUUAGAAAGCCACGUUUCUAGCAUUUGUAAAACUGCAUUUUUCCAUCUCAAAAAUAUAUCUAAAUUACGGCCUAUGCUCUCAAUGUCAAAUGCAGAAAUGUUAAUCCAUGCAUUUAUGACUUCAAGGUUAGACUACUGUAAUGCUUUAUUGGGUGGUUGUUCUGCACGCUUGGUAAACAAACUACAGCUAGUCCAAAAUGCAGCAGCAAGAGUUCUUACUAGAACCAGGAAGUAUGACCAUAUUAGCCCGGUCCUGUCCACACUGCACUGGCUCCCUAUCAAACAUCGUAUAGAUUUUAAAAUAUUGCUUAUUACUUAUAAAGCCCUGAAUGGUUUAGCACCUCAGUAUUUGAAUGAGCUCCUUUUACAUUAUACUCCUCUACGUCCGCUACGUUCUCAAAACUCAGGCAAUUUGAUAAUACCUAGAAUAUCAAAAUCAACUGCGGGCGGCAGAUCCUUUUCCUAUUUGGCGCCUAAACUCUGGAAUAACCUACCUAACAUUGUUCGGGAGGCAGACACAGUCUUGCAGUUUAAAUCUAGAUUAAAGACCCAUCUCUUUAACCUGGCAUACACAUAACAUACUAAUAUGCUUUUAAUAUCCAAAUCCGUUAAAGGAUUUUUAGGCUGCAUUAAUUAGGUAAACUGGAACCGGAACACUUCACAUAACACCGUACUUUCUACAUCAUUAGAAGAAUGGCAUCUACGCUAAUAUUUGUCUGUUUCUCUCUUGUUCCGAGGUCACCGUGGCCACCAGAUCCAGUCUGUGUCCAGAUCAGAGGGUCACUGCAGUCACCCGGAUCCAGUACUUAUCCAGACCAGAUGGUGGAUCAGCACCUAGAAAGGACCUCUACUGCCCUGAAAGACAGCGGAGACCAGGACAACUAGAGCCCCAGAUACAGAUCCCCUGUAAAGACCUUGUCUCAGAGGAGCACCAGGACAAGACCACAGGAAACAGAUGAUUCUUCUGCACAAUCUGACUUUGCUGCAGCCUGGAAUUGAACUACUGGUUUCGUCUGGUCAGAGGAGAACUGGCCCCCCAACUGAGCCUGGUUUCUCCCAAGGUUUUUUUCUCCAUUCUGUCACCGAUGGAGUUUCGGUUCCUUGCCGCUGUCGCCUCUGGCUUGCUUAGUUGGGGUCACUUCAUCUACAGCGAUAUCGUUGACUUGAUUGCAAAUUAAAACAGACACUAUUUCAACUGAACAGAGAUGACAUCAAUGAAUUCAAUGAUAAACUGCCUUUAACUAUCAUUUUGCAUUAUUGAGACACUGUUUUCCAAAUGAAUGUUGUUCAGUGCUUUGGCGCAAUGUAUUUUGUUUAAAGCACUAUAUAAAUAAAGGUGAUUGAUUUAGCUUUA